GCAGUUUGCUCACAGCCGACGGACUCUAUUCCGCCAUGUAUUUAAGGGAGCUAUAGUUCUCUUCGAYGAACUACUGGCUAUUAUACUAAAGUGAUUUGAAUCGCAAAAACAGCUCUUUGUAUUGCAAUGAAACUCACAUUAAGUCUACUCAUUUGUACRGCAAUUGUCCUGUUUUUCUCGCAGUCGCAUUCAGUAGUUUGCAAGAGCUUAAGUAGUAAUAGUUUUAGGGACAUAAUGGAGAAARUAUUCGAAAAACGAAUGCUGACRGAUGAAGAGAGGCCUAUGUGCAUUAAGAAUACCAUUUGCMGGCUUUUCACCCAAGGCAAGGAGCGYUUUCCAAAUUUUAUGGAGAGUAUAUGAGACUUCACUAUGAUGGAUAGAUUCAAAAGUACGUUGCUACAGCCGCUGUUAUAGGAUCAACAAAGAACCACUGGGCUGAUGCAACAAUUGCAAGUCACUAAAAAAGAUCAAUAAAAUGAUACAAAAAAAACCC